AGCAGCCGCGGUAAUUCCAGCUCCAAUAGCGUAUAUUAAAGUUGUUGCAGUUAAAAAGCUCGUAGUUGAAUUUCGGGAUUCGUUCAUUGGUCAGGCUUAACUGUCUGUACUGAUGUGUCGGAUUUCUACCUUCUGAAGAACCUUCAUGUCAUUAAUUUGGUGUGUUGGGGAAUCAGGACUGUUACUUUGAAAAAAUUAGAGUGUUUAAAGCAGGCUAACGCUUGAAUACAUUAGCAUGGAAUAAUGAAAUAGGACGUUCGAUCUUAUUUUGUUGGUUUCUAAGAUUGACGUAAUGAUUAAUAGGGAUAGUUGGGGGCAUUAGUAUUCAAUUGUCAGAGGUGAAAUUCUUGGAUUUAUUGAAGACUAACUACUGCGAAAGCAUUUGCCAAGGAUGUUUUCAUUAAUCAAGAACGAAAGUUAGGGGAUCGAAGACGAUCAGAUACCGUCGUAGUCUUAACCAUAAACUAUGCCGACUAGGGAUCGGACGAAGUUAAUUUUAUAAUGACGCGUUCGGCACCUU
rnacentral:rRNA from 1 species